CAGUCUUAGCCAUUCAUUUCUUUUUUACAGCCCGAUCUCAAUCCUUAUUUUUGUCUUAUAUGCAGCAUUAACUAGGUCAUCUUAAUUACUGCCGUCUAUUCGUCAUUAUAGCCGACCUCGGAACUUGCUUCGAUGCGACGGUUCGACGCGACGGCCUUUUCUUCUUCACCAAGCUUCUCAUUUCCUUUGUCUUUUCUAUCCCUUUCUAACUUCUUCUUCGUCUUCUUUGACGAAACCUCUUUUUCGUCUCAUUCUUUCUUCCUCCCGUGUCUUCUCGCCUUCAUUCUCGUCUACUUUUCUGCUUUGAGUAAUGGCGCCACUCCCGCCUUGACCUACUCGUCCUUCACU
rnacentral:lncRNA from 1 species